rnacentral:rRNA from 1 species
AACGCGAAGAACCUUACCUGGGUUUGACAUCCUUCGACAGACGAUGAGAGUCGUUUUUUGUAGCAAUACAACGGAGAGACAGGUGCUGCAUGGCUGUCGUCAGCUCGUGUGGUGACAUGUUGGGUUAAGUCCCGCAACGAGCGCAACCCUUGUCUUUAGUUGCCAGCAUUUAGUUGGGCACUCUAGAGAGACUGCCGUGGUUAACACGGAGGAAGGUGGGGAUGACGUCAAGUCCUCAUGGCCCUUAUACCCAGGGCGACACACGUGAUACAAUGGCCGGUACAGAGGGAUGCGAAGCCGCGAGGUGGAGCUAAUCUCAAAAAGCCGGUCUCAGUUCGGAUUGGAGUCUGCAACUCGACUCCAUGAAGUUGGAAUCGCUAGUAAUCGCGGAUCAGCACGCCGCGGUGAAUACGUUCCCGGGCCUUGUACACACCGAGUAUA